AGAGUUUGAUCAUGGCUCAGAACGAACGCUGGCGGCAGGCUUAACACAUGCAAGUCGAACGCACCUUCGGGUGAGUGGCAGACGGGUGAGUAACGCGUGGGAACGUGCCCUUCAGUUCGGAAUAACCCAGGGAAACUUGGGCUAAUACCGGAUACGUGCGAGAGCAGAAAGAUUUAUCGCUGAAGGAUCGGCCCGCGUCUGAUUAGCUAGUUGGUGGGGUAAUGGCCCACCAAGGCGACGAUCAGUAGCUGGUCUGAGAGGAUGAUCAGCCACAUUGGGACUGAGACACGGCCCAAACUCCUACGGGAGGCAGCAGUGGGGAAUAUUGGACAAUGGGCGCAAGCCUGAUCCAGCCAUGCCGCGUGAGUGAUGAAGGCCUUAGGGUUGUAAAGCUCUUUCGUCCGGGACAAUAAUGACGGUACCGGAAGAAGAAGCCCCGGCUAACUUCGUGCCAGCAGCCGCGGUAAUACGAAGGGGGCUAGCGUUGUUCGGAAUCACUGGGCGUAAAGGGCGCGUAGGCGGCUUGAUAAGUCGGGGGUGAAAGCCUGUGGCUCAACCACAGAAUUGCCUUCGAUACUGUCUGGCUUGAGACCGGAAGAGGUAAGUGGAACUGCGAGUGUAGAGGUGAAAUUCGUAGAUAUUCGCAAGAACACCAGUGGCGAAGGCGGCUUACUGGUCCGGUUCUGACGCUGAGGCGCGAAAGCGUGGGGAGCAAACAGGAUUAGAUACCCUAGUAGUCC
rnacentral:rRNA from 1 species